rnacentral:rRNA from 1 species
GACGAACGCUGGCGGCGUGCUUAACACAUGCAAGUCGAACGGAAAGGCCCUGCUUUUGUGGGGUGCUCGAGCGGCGAACGGGUGAGUAACACGUGAGUAACCUGCCCUUGACUUUGGGAUAACUUCAGGAAACUGGGGCUAAUACCGGAUAGGAGCUCCUGCUGCAUGGUGGGGGUUGGAAAGUUUCGGCGGUUGGGGAUGGACUCGCGGCUUAUCAGCUUGUUGGUGGGGUAGUGGCUUACCAAGGCUUUGACGGGUAGCCGGCCUGAGAGGGUGACCGGCCACAUUGGGACUGAGAUACGGCCCAGACUCCUACGGGAGGCAGCAGUGGGGAAUAUUGCACAAUGGGCGGAAGCCUGAUGCAGCAACGCCGCGUGCGGGAUGACGGCCUUCGGGUUGUAAACCGCUUUCGCCUGUGACGAAGCGUGAGUGGCGGUAAUGGGUAAAGAAGCACCGGCUAACUACGUG